rnacentral:misc_RNA from 1 species
UCCCCGUUGUCCGAGGCGGUUCCCUAAGAGUGCUGUCCUUUACGGACGUGGCAACAUAGGGUAAGGGUUGCGCUCGUUGCGGGACUUAACCCAACAUCUCACGACACGAGCUAACGACAGCCAUGCAGCACCUCUGUUAGCAACCGGCUUUACGGUUCGUCUCCUGUUUCCAGGAUCCUACUACUAGUAGUUCAAGCCCAGGUAAGGUUGUUCGCGUUGCGUCGAAUUAAACCACAUGCUCCACCGCUUGUGCGGGCCCCCGUCAAUUCCUUUGAGUUUCAACCUUGCGGCCGUACUCCCCAGGCGGCACAUUUAUCGCGUUAGCUGCGGCACAGAGGGAUUCGACUCCCCCCACACCUAGUGUUCAUCGUUUACGGCUAGGACUAC